AGAAAGACACUAGAAGCUCUUGGGAGCAUGUGGACAGUUGUGGCUGCUCCUGAGCUGACACUAACUGCUCAUGACUCCUCUGUGGGAGAAGUAGGUGGUUUCCUAGAGGAAGAAGUUUGGGUAAUGAAGCCACAGAGAUUUGCUGAUACAUUUGCUAGGCACGACUUCUGGUCAUUUAGAAAGCUAUUUUGUGGCUUCAUCAAUAAGGUAUUCCCCAGCUGUGUUACUCCUUUGCAUUGUUAUCUCUUUCCCUGGAAUUGAAGGCUUCCUGGUCUGAGGCAAGGACAAUUAUUCCCUCACUGCCAACCCGGAUCUCUGGCUGCAGUAAUGAGCAGAGGAAAUGAAGAAAUAAGAAUGGAAGCAUAAUCAUUUGUCCGAGGUCACAGAGGGAGAUGAUUACACAGCUGGAAUGCUGGGUCUUCUUUAAAGAAGGAGUACUCAAGGACUCUGUGAAUUGAAAAUGAACAUCUGUUUGAACCUGUUCUUGUGCUGGAAUGCAGUGGUGUGAUCUCAGCUGACUGCAACCUCCACCUCCCACGCUCAAGUGAUUCUCAUGCCUCAACCUCCUGAGUAGCUGGCAUUACAGGAGAAGAAAAAAGAAAACUCCCUUAUCAAUACAACAAGAAGUCAGGAAAAGAGAGACAGGAUUUCACCAUGUUGCCCAGAUGAUCUAGAACUUCUGAGAUCAAGCACUCCACCCACUUUGGCCUCCCAAAGUGCUGAGAUUACAGGGAUACAUAUAUAUACAAUAUCUCUCUCUCUCUCUAUAUAUAUAUAUCAACUCUAGAGAGGGAAGUGGAGUAAGAUGGCUAAAUAGAACCCUCCAGUGUUUGACACUUCCUGCAGGAACACCACAUUUUACAACUAUCCAUGCAAGAAAGCACCUUCAUAAAAAAAAAAAGUCAGGUGUCAAGUCUUGAUAAAUCAGGAUUUGCAUUUAUUGUAUUUGUGUUUAAAGAACUCCCAGUCCCUUCGUUAAGGGCAAAAGCUUAUAUUUUCUUAGCCUAGUGAAAGACAAGCACAAGAAAGAAGUGAAAGGGGAAGUGGAUGAAAGGCGGAUCAGAAAAUACGCCUAGAUUUGUUAUGAUGUGAUGGUGAGACCAGUCUCCUCUUCAAACUACUACAUACAUCAACAGUUGACAUUACCCUGGGCAUGUUGAUUUUAUAUACAUUGACUUAACUACCUACCAGGCAUUCCAUUCCAUGGGAGACAUACUAAGUGUCUAGUAUGUCCCACGUUGUGAUAGGCAAUGUGAGAGUUACAGACAACCAAACGGUGAGUGCCUUCCCUUCAAAGAGGUUGCCAUCUAGUUAGAAGUAUUGAUAUCGUAAUUUAAAAAUGAGGCUUUCAUUUGUCAUAUAUGUACUUAACAGGCCAUGGUAUGAUCAAGCAAACAAACACUUAUGUUGCCAUUAGCAAAAAAGGCCCCUGUUAUCUUUUGUUAACCAAAAAAUUGCAGUGAAUUUUCCAUAUGUGCUUCUUCCAAUUUCUCUUGGUAUGAAGUUCCAGUACACAUACAAAACCUCUUUGAAGAAAAAGAAAAGAAAUAAAACUUAUGUAGAAAUUUAUUUAAUUCUAAGUGAUGGGAGACAAAAAACUGUUUCACCUAACUCAAACCACAUAAAGGACUUUCAAAAACAUUUGAGCAUUCCUGGGCUCUGUUCCCUCCAUAUAUCCUACCAGCCAGACAAGGAAGUACCUCUUUCCCUGUGUGAAAUCUCUUCUGUUAGACAAUUAGUUCCACGUCUUGGGAUCUCAUUUCCUAAGGUCCUGCCAGUGACCUUCUCUUUAAAACCAUUAAUUCUGGUGAGAUUCUGGCCAGGUGAAGUUUG